rnacentral:rRNA from 1 species
GAUGAACGCUGGCGGCGUGCCUAAUACAUGCAAGUCGAACGCAUUGAGAGAAGUGCUUGCACUUUUCAAUUUGAGUGGCGAACGGGUGAGUAACACGUGGGCAACCUACCUGAUAGCGGGGGAUAACGAGUGGAAACAUUCGCUAAUACCGCAUUACAAUAGAGAAGGCAUCUUCUUUAUUUAAAAGGCGCUUUCAAGCGUCACUAUCAGAUGGGCCCGCGGUGCAUUAGUUAGUUGGUGGGGUGAAGGCCUACCAAGACGAUGAUGCAUAGCCGAGUUGAGGGACUGAUCGGCUACAUUGGGACUGAGACACGGCCCAAACUCCUACGGGAGGCUGCAGUAGGGAAUCUUACACAAUGGACGAAAGUCUGAUGGAGCAACGCCGCGUGUGUGAUGAAGGCUUUCGGGUCGUAAAGCACUGCUGUAUGGGAAGAAAUGCUAGGCUAGGAAAUGAGCUUAGUUUGACGGUACCAUACCAGAAAGGGACGGCUAAAUACGUGCCAGCCGCCGCCGUAA